rnacentral:tRNA from 1 species
GGCCCUGUAAUUCAAUUGGUAGAAUGCCUCUCUUGCAAGGAGGAUGCUUCGGGUUCAAAUCCCGGCAGGUCCA